rnacentral:lncRNA from 1 species
CUUGAAGCAAAGGAUGGCUUAUGGUCUAGAUUUUGAUUACAGCAAGGCCACAGGGCAACAGGAAAUUCUGCAGAAAAACAUAUCAGUUGAUAUUCCAAAAUUUUAUACUGAUACGCUUUUGUCCUCAGGUGUACAUGUGAAGAGGCAAUGCUUACCAAAUUCUCUCUCAGGCAGUCAGAAUCACGGAAAGGAAGUGACAAGGCAGAUUGAAGAGAGACACUCAAUAAACGUUUGCUGUUUAAAAGAAGGCGGCAAAAUUUGCAAACCUGUGGGCCUCUAUAUUAAAAAGAUCAAAGAAGAACACCUCCAUUUUACUAAAACAUUUUUAAAACAUCUACCAGAAGUGGAAGCCUCUUCUGUCUCUUUUAAUUUUGAGAAGAAUCUUGCUGUACUGGAAAGCAAAGAAGUUCAUAAAACUGAAUGGUAUUCUAACAAAAAGACCUAGGAAUCAGCUUGAAGGAGAUUCUUCAGGACAAAUUUGGGACAGUUUGAGCCCUUCCCUUCAAAAAUGAUGACUGAAAUUGAUGAAAACAAUAAAAAAUUUCUAUCUAGGUGUGUGUGUGUGAAU